CCUACGGGUGGCUGCAGUGAGGAAUAUUGGUCAAUGGGCGGGAGCCUGAACCAGCCAAGCCGCGUGAAGGAAGAAGGCGCCAGGCGUCGUAAACUUCUUUUGUCGGGGAACAAAGGGCGCCACGUGUGGCGUUGUGAGUGUACCCGAAGAAAAAGCAUCGGCUAACUCCGUGCCAGCAGCCGCGGUAAUACGGAGGAUGCAAGCGUUGUCCGGAUUUACUGGGUGUAAAGGGCGUGCAGCCGGGAAGACAAGUCAGAUGUGAAAUCCCGCGGCUCAACCGCGGAACUGCAUUUGAAACUGUUUUUCUUGAGUACCGGAGAGGUCAUCGGAAUUCCUUGUGUAGCGGUGAAAUGCGUAGAUAUAAGGAAGAACACCAGUGGCGAAGGCGGAUGACUGGACGGCAACUGACGGUGAGGCGCGAAAGCGUGGGGAGCAAACAGGAUUAGAUACCCGAGUAGUC
rnacentral:rRNA from 1 species